UAGGGAAUAUUGGGCAAUGGAAGGAAUUCUGACCCAGCCAUGCCGCGUGCAGGAUGAAUGCGCUAAGCGUUGUAAACUGCUUUUGUCAGGGGAGAAAAAGCGAGUGCGCUCGCCAUUGACGGUACCUGAUGAAUAAGCAUCGGCUAACUCCGUGCCAGCAGCCGCGGUAAUACGGAGGAUGCGAGCGUUGUCCGGAUUUAUUGGGUUUAAAGGGUGCGUAGGCGGUUAUGUAAGUCAGUGGUUAAAUUUUGCAGCUUAACUGUGAGAAUGCCAUUGAUACUGCAUAACUUGAGAAUUGAGGGGGUAAGUGGAACUGGUAGUGUAGCGGUGAAAUGCAUAGAUACUACCAAGAAUAUCGAUAGUGAAGACAGCUUACUACGGAAUUUCUGACGCUGAGGCA
rnacentral:rRNA from 1 species